rnacentral:rRNA from 1 species
UCCGUAGGCGGUGUGGCAAGUCGGAAGUGAAAUCUCUGGGCUUAACUCAGAGGCUGCUUCCGAAACUGCCGUGCUAGAGUGCGAGAGAGGCAAGUGGAAUUGCGGGUGUAGCGGUGAAAUGCGUAGAUAUCCGCAGGAACAUCCGAGGCGAAAGCGGCUUGCUGGAUCGCAACCGACGCUGAGGGACGAAAGCUAGGGGAGCAAACAGGAUUAGAUACCCUGGUAGUCCUAGCCCUAAACCAUCAGGACUUGGGGUUUGCCCUGUACGGGGCAAGUCCCGUAGCUAACGCGUUAAGUCCUGCGCCUGGGGAGUACGGUCGCAAGGCUGAA